rnacentral:rRNA from 1 species
GACGAACGCUGGCGGCGUGCUUAACACAUGCAAGUCGAACGGAAAGGCCCUGCUUUUGUGGGGUGCUCGAGUGGCGAACGGGUGAGUAACACGUGAGUAACCUGCCCUUGACUUUGGGAUAACUUCAGGAAACUGGGGCUAAUACCGGAUAGGAGCUCCUGCUGCAUGGUGGGGGUUGGAAAGUUUCGGCGGUUGGGGCUGGACUCGCGGCUUAUCAGCUUGUUGGUGGGGUAGUGGCUUACCAAGGCUUUGACGGGUAGCCGGCCUGAGAGGGUGACCGGCCACCUUGGGACUGAGAUACGGCCCAGACUCCUACGGGAGGCAGCAGUGGGGAAUAUUGCACAAUGGGCGGAAGCCUGAUGCAGCAACGCCGCGUGCGGGAUGACGGCCUUCGGGUUGUAAACCGCUUUCGCCUGUGACGAAGCGUGAGUGACGGUAAUGGGUAAAGAAGCACCGGCUAACUACGUG